UCUCCACCAGCAACCAGGACCUCAACGGAUUCUCCGCCUCUUCUCCAUGCUCCUUCUCCAUCCCGGGUAAAGCCCUCCAGAGUAAAACCCUCCUCAACUCCUACUACUCAGUUUCUAAGGAGCCGGUCCCUGCCACAGCAUCCAUAGGUA